CCGCUGGGCCAUGAAAUCUGUAAAGCCA
rnacentral:piRNA from 1 species